rnacentral:rRNA from 1 species
UGGUGGAUUGAUCUGUCUGCUUAAUUGCGAUAACGAACGAGAUCACCACCCCUCAAUAGGUGGAUGCCACAGAUAUAUGUACGGGAUGUGCUGGUUCUCUCGCAGUCCAACACGUCUCGGAGUGUGCAUCAAUACUUCUUAGGGGGACUGUGUACGCCCUAGUACACGGAAGAUGGUGCCAAUAGCA